rnacentral:rRNA from 1 species
GACGACCGCUGGCGGCGUGCUUAACACAUGCAAGUCGAGCGGUAAGGCCCUUUCGGGGGUACACGAGCGGCGAACGGGUGAGUAACACGUGGGUGACCUGCCCUCAGCUCUGGGAUAAGCCUGGGAAACCGGGUCUAAUACUGGAUAUGACUCCAUGACGCAUGUUGUGGGGUGGAAAGCCUUGUGCGGCUGAGGAUGGGCCCGCGGCCUAUCAGCUUGUUGGUGGGGUGAUGGCCUACCAAGGCGACGACGGGUAGCCGGCCUGAGAGGGCGACCGGCCACACUGGGACUGAGACACGGCCCAGACUCCUACGGGAGGCAGCAGUGGGGAAUCUUGCGCAAUGGGCGAAAGCCUGACGCAGCGACGCCGCGUGAGGGAUGACG